GGAAGGAUCAUUAACACGUAUCCACGUUAUCAACCAAAGUGAAAUGAAUGUUUUCCAGCACGUCCCACGGAAGUAGCAGCAUAUGGAACUGGGCGUUAUUCUUUAUUGAAUAAUCUAUAAUUAACUAUACUAACCUUCCUUACACUAGUUGUCUAUUUAUAUGUUGUUUUAUGGAUAUCUCAAUUGAUAUGCACGAAUCACACGUUUAUUUACUUGAACGUUAAAAUACAACUCUUAGCAAUGGAUAUCUUGGUUCUCGCAACGAUGAAGAACGCAGCGAAAUGCGAUACGUAAUGCGAAUUGCAGAAUUCAGUGAAUCAUCAAAUCUUUGAACGCAAAUUGCGCUCUUGGGUAGCCCUAGGAGCACGCCUCUCUCAGUAUCGGUUCAACAACCUCUCAGCAGCGUAUGUGUGUAAAAAGCAUAUAUGUGUUGGCUGGAUAAUGGGAGUCUGAUCGUUUCGACGAUUAGUCUUCUUAAAUCUAUCGAGUGAACAUAUAACAAACUAAUCAACUUCUAUUACUUUCAUUGUGAUGGAUAGCCGGUCUCUGACUGUUGAUGUGUGAGUGACGUGAAUACUGGCCCUCGCGGUCUCCUUUUACGUGUAACUGAUGCAUCGAUACUAAAGUCUAGGAUAGGUGAACAGAUCUGUGUGUAAUGUUUACGUUAAGUGGGUAACCACAAUCGAUUAUCGACAGUGUCACAACUGAACGUAAUCUGAAUUUUGAUCUGAGAUGAAGCGAGACAACCCCCUGAAUUUAAGCAUAUUAAUAAGGGGAGGAAAAGAAACUAACAAGGAUUCCCCCAGUAACGGCGAGUGAAGCGGGAAGAGCUCAAUUUGAAAAUCGACUACCCAAACGGGUCGUCGAAUUGUAGCCUAGAGACGUGCCAUCAGCUGAAACCUGGGUAUAAGUUCUUUGGAAUGAGGCAUCAUAGAGGGUGAGAAUCCCGUAUAUGACCCAAAGCUUUCAGCGUACGAUGCAUGUUCAUCGAGUCGAGUUGUUUGGGAUUGCAGCUCUAAAUGGGUGGUAAGUUUCAUCUAAAGCUAAAUAAUGGCGAGAGACCGAUAGCGAACAAGUACCGUGAGGGAAAGAUGAAAAGAACUUUGAAAAGAGAGUUAAAAGUACUUGAAAUUGCUAAGAGGGAAGCGCUGGAAACCAGUGAUAUGCGCAGUCAAUCGUCUACGGCUCCUCUGGAUAAUGUUGAUAGUUGGAAACUCUAUUACAUGUUAUCGACAAGGUAGUUAUAGGUUUAUGAUUGCGUGUCAGUCAAGAUCAAUUCGAGUUGUGGGAGAAGGUAGUGAGAAAGGUAGGAUGGCGACAUCUGUUAUAUUCUCAUUACUCUACCUCGACUUGGAUUGAGGAAGUAAUAGUGCGCUGCUUGCGGCUUAGUCUCGAGUUCCUAAUUUACUAUUCGUUCUCAUUGCAAUGCUAUGUUGAUGGAAAUGUGAAUUACUGGAUUCGAUGACUCUAUGUGCUAUCACGAUCUUGUACGAAAUGGUUUUCAUCGACCCGUCUUGAAACACGGACCAAGGAGUCUAACAUCUAUGCAAGUAUUUGAGUGAAAAACUCUGAUGCGUAAUGAAAGUAAAGGCAGACUUGUUCUGCUGAGGUAGGAAUCCGGUCAAACGGAGGCACUAUCGACCGAUCAUCACUUGUGAAAGAUUUGAGUAAGAGCAUAUCUGUUGGGACCCGAAAGAUGGUGAUCUAUGCCUGAACAGGGUGAAGCCAGGGGAAACUCUGGUGGAGGCUCGUAGCGAUACUGACGUGCAAAUCGUUCGUCUGAUUUGGGUAUAGGGGCGAAAGACUAAUCGAACCAUCUAGUAGCUGGUUCCCUC
rnacentral:misc_RNA from 1 species